rnacentral:rRNA from 1 species
GACGAACGCUGGCGGCGUGCUUAACACAUGCAAGUCGAACGGAAAGGCCCUGCUUUUGUGGGGUGCUCGAGUGGCGAACGGGUGAGUAACACGUGAGUAACCUGCCCUUGACUUUGGGAUAACUUCAGGAAACUGGGGCUAAUACCGGAUAGGAGCUCCUGCUGCAUGGUGGGGGUUGGAAAGUUUCGGCGGUUGGGGAUGGACUCGCGGCUUAUCAGCUUGUUGGUGGGGUAGUGGCUUACCAAGGCUUUGACGGGUAGCCGGCCUGAGAGGGUGACCGGCCAAAUUGGGACUGAGAAACGGGCCAGACUACUCCGGAGGGCAGCAGUGGGGAAUAUUACACAACGGGCGGAAGACUGAUGCAGCAACGCCGCGUGCGGGAUGACGGCCUUCGGGUUGUAAACCGCUUUCGCCUGUGACGACGCGUGAGUGACGGUAAUGAGUAAAGAAGCACCGGCUAACUACGUG